ensembl:lncRNA
GAAGCAUGAUUCAGCCCUGGACGAAGCCAUCGUCCAGCUACUGGAUUUCUGGAGGAACGCUUGCGAAAUGUCAGGAAGAGAACCCGUCGUGAAAACUGCACAAGCCGUGAGAAAGAGGAUUCUCAAGCCAUAAGCAGCACCUUGGUUAUACCAGGUAAAAAUUUAAAUUUGCUAUCUUUUACUAAAAGCAAGUGUUUAUUAUUUUGGCAAAUAUCCUUAAUUUUGUUGUUAAAAUUAUAUUUAUUUGUAAAGCCAAGUAUUUCACCUGACAGAGCAGUACAACUUGCAGAAUGGCUUAAAAAUAAUAUGUGGCCAGCUAACCAAGUUGCAGAUUACAUGAAAGAAACAGCCAUCCACAGGGCUCAGUGGAUAAGAGCUAACGGGACAAAAUCUAUAGAGGAAAUAACUUGUGAAUUCCCUCGACUCCUUUAUACGCCAGGCAUGAUUUCACAAGACUUCUCUGUAUUAUUCCCCGAACACGCAGAGAGACUUUUCCAAACUUGGAAAAUGAGUUUCAAAGACAAAAUCCUUUGCUUUGCCAGCCAGGAGAAAAAGGCGCAGGAGCUUCUCCAGAAUUUAGACAGUUUGUCUCCAGAAGUCCAAAGUGUCGUUGCACUCAGGCUGCUUCCUGUAAUACUGCCCACCCCUGUCUACAAAAAAGGGAUGAAAAUGUUCAAACCAAGCUUGGAAGAAAAUAUCAAGUCUUUCAUUGAAUUCAAGCAUGUUGGGACCAACAUGGUUGAAUAUUUGAAGGAGGCAGAGCUCACUAAACCCUUCCCCUUUGUCCUUGGUCUUGGGGAUGACAGUCAAUGCCAUCAAGCCUUUUGUAGUUGUUGGCAAACAGGCACUGCAUCAAAACACACUCCUUGGUGCUGUGGACACGUGCUUUAAACUUUUUUAUGUUUUAGACAUCCAUUUCCCGAAGCAGUGUGCACCAGUGUGGGAGUUUUUGCAGACUGUUGUCUACAAACUCCCAGGAACUGAAUCUCCUUCUGUAAGACUGCUCCGUGGAUAUUUGUCAUGUUGAGCAGUACUGGAACCAUGACAACUAACCCUUUCUAAAAAUGUUAUGCAAGUUUAUAUUAAGAGGAAAGUUGUCAGACUAAUACAUAUAUCUAAAGCAUUUUACUUGUAUCACUUUGUUCGUGUGCCUCUUUGUUAGACAUACUCUCUAAAAAAUUAUGAGUUUAUAUUAAGGGGAAAGUCAUCUAACUAAUAUAUAUGAAGCAUUGUACUUGUGUCUUAUACUUGUGUAUAUAAUGUAAAUGUUUAAAUCUAAGCUAAUUUAAUUUAUUGAUAUUUAUUUUUUAUAUUUAUAAAAUGGAAGUUGUAUUUAUAUUUUAUAUGCUGUUUUAUUGUUCAUUGAGCAUGAAAAAAUAUCAUGCUUUUUUGCUAUAUGAAUUAUAUAUGCUUUUAUGUCUUGCAUUUGGAUGUUCUUUAUUAAUAAAUCUUCACCUUUUGAGUUAUUACUGUUGCUUUUAGUGAUUCUCUGUGAUUUUAUUAUUAGUAUUAUUAUUAUUAUUAUUAUUAUUAUUAUUAUUAUUAUUAUUAUUAAUAAACCUAUUUCAGGUUUGUUUUUAACCAGCAAUGUAGUCAUUUUAAUCAAUAAUGCAGUUAAAUAAAACAACCCAACAAGUUGGGUCAAAGAUUUAACCCAACCGGCUGGGUUAAAACAACUCAACGCUGGGUUUGUCCAUAUUUGACCCAGCGUUGGGUUGCCAAAAUAACCCAAGUUGGGUUGUUUUAACCCAGCAUUUUUUUAGAGUGCAGUGUUUAAAACAUUUUUCACUGUUAUGGGAAAAUAUACUUUUUGGUUUAACUGACUAUCCUGAUGAUAAAGAACAGUGCUUUUAUUUAAUUAAUUUAUUUAUUCUGUUGACCAAAUUUCACAUUCAUAAAUGUAAAUUUAGCAAUAAAAAACCCAAUUUUAUGGUUUUGUUAACUGAAAUAUGUAUUUAUAUUGACAGUAUCAGAGACUCUGUGAACAAAAAAGCUGUAAGAACUUUGAAAAUUUGUAAAUUUUACAAUUUGUUUAUUUGAUGUUAUAUAUGCGUGUAUAAUACUUUCCUCCCCCUGGCAAUUGUUUUGUCUGUUGUAAUUUGUAUUUCCUUCUUUUUCUGUUUCUUUUUUUUUUUUACUUUUUUCUUUCUUGAUAACAUGUUAUAUGUUAUGGUUUUCCCAAACUAAAAAAACAAAAAAAACAAAAUGGAAAUAAAGAAAUGUGCCGUGUCUUCGAAUUAAACUAUAGCCGCGUCCGAAAUCGCAUACUUCCAUACUAUAUAGUAGGCGAAAAACAGUAUGCGAAGCAAGUAGUAUGUCCGAAUUCUCAGUAUUCGAAAAACAGUAGGCAAGAUGUACCCGGAUGGCCUACUACUUCCGGCCGAAUUCCGUAGUAUGCAUAGUCUUAACCUGUUCGACUGUCCUACAGGUAUUCUGCUCUUGAAGAGCUGCACACGGUCGUCUGCUGUGACCGAGUGUAACCCCUCUCACCCGGGUCCUCUCUGACGCUCCUCGCACUCGCGACGAGCGGGGCUCGAACCCGGGUCUUCCGGCAUGGGAGGCGGUUGCACUAACAAGGAGGCUAAAUGGCUACAGCCACUAGCGUCUGUCGCUAGUGCGUCUCUUGAGAUCGGCGAGUGAGGUUUACCUGCACAGCACUACUCGCUGGCCUCCGUUACACGAGCUAUGGUCAGAUUGUCCCGCACAUGCUCUUCUGUGCUGACUUCUGUGUUUUGGGGUUCCAGUGUAUCAUCGUCAUGAUCCUUCACAACUUCUGGAUCAGCAAUGUCCUCAUUCAGAAGACGGAGGUUGUAGAGCACUGCACAGCAUGCAACAACAUCUGCACAAAGGCAGAACUCACUUCCAGGGCCUUGAAGAAGAAGAAGAUGGAGCACAUGGUCUUCAUCAUCUGAUGGCUCUCUCAACAAUGUUCUGUGCACGAGCAUCAUUGGUGUUGAAUCAAAGCUGUGCAGGAUUGUAUUCAGACUCUCUGUCUGCUGUGAUGAGGCAGAUGAAGACUCACACAAGGAUACCCACCAUCUCCCAGGAUGUGUUUCCCUGCAGGUGGAUAGGCCUCCAGUGUUCUUCAGCACCCUGGCAUCAUGCACACACCGGGAUACUCAACAAAGAUAUCAAGGUACUUCUCCUGGUGGUGACCUGCAGCUGAACAGAAUGAAACCACUUCCUGUUGAAAUAACAUUGGGCUUCACUUGCUGGAGGUUCAGUUUGUAUGUGACAGCCACCUAUUGUGUCAGCUACCAGAAGAAAAGCUGCUUCCACUGCCUGUCAUCUGUGGUGGAGAAGGCAAUCAGCCUCCUCAAAAUCCCCAUGACAGACCUGACCUGCUCAUUCUGUGCACAAUGUUAUGCAGCUCUUGGAUGUCAAAGGCCAGGGACAGCAGUCUGUAUGAUGCUGUUCACAGUCUGUAAAUAUGUAGUUUUUGUUUUUUAGAAUAAAAUUUCAAUAGGUUACACAUUUUUUUGCUGAUAUAUCUAUAUCUAACUAUAUAUUUAUAUAUGUGUGUAUUUUGUCUAUAAUUGUAUAUAUUAUGUAUGUAUUUAUGUAUAUAUUGUGAUGUGUGUGUGUUUCUGUGUAUAUUUCUAAAAUGUAUUUGUGUGUAUUUAUGUGUAUAUAUAUGUGUGUGUCAGGGUUUCCGUUGUCCGGUAAUUGCCGAACAUUGGCCGGAAAAAAAAUGAAAUGUCCGACAAAAUUAAAUCUCUCCGGUCAAAUUGUCCGAAUAAAAUUGCCUAAUAAUCCCGCCCCCUAAAAUAAGCCAAAAAAAAAAAUAAAUAAAUAAAAACGGGUUCCCCUUUCAUCUCCGUUUCAGCGCUUUUCUGGGCACUGAGGACAGCGACUCACACUGUAAAAAUUUUUGCCGUUAAAUAACAGUAAUUUUCUGGCAGCAGGGGUGCCAGUAAAGUACUGUUAAUUUACAGCUCUUAACCAUUAAUUUACC